rnacentral:rRNA from 1 species
GUAAAGCGCGCGUAGGCGGCCAAAUCAGCCGGUUGUGAAAGCCCCGGGCUCAACCUGGGAACGGCAUCCGGAACUGUUUGGCUAGAGUGCAGGAGAGGAAGGUAGAAUUCCCGGUGUAGCGGUGAAAUGCGUAGAGAUCGGGAGGGAUACCAGUGGCGAAGGCGGCCUUCUGGACUGACACUGACGCUGAGGUGCGAAAGCGUGGGUAGCAAACAGGAUUAGAUACCCUGGUAGUCCACGCCGUAAACGAUGUCGACUAGCCGUUGGGUGCCUCGAGCACUUUGUGGCGAAGUUAACGCGAUAAGUCGACCGCCUGGGGAGUACGGCCGCAAGGUUAAAACUCAAAUGAAUUGACGGGGGCCCGCACAAGCGGUGGAGCAUGUGGUUUAAUUCGAUGCAACGCGAAGAACCUUACCUACCCUUGACAUCGUGCGAACCCGGAAGAGAUUCCGGGGUGCCUUCGGGAGCGCACAGACAGGUGCUGCAUGGCUGUCGUCAGCUCGUGUUGUGAAAUGUUGGGUUAAGUCCCGUAACGAGCGCAACCUUUGUCCUAUUGCCAGC